rnacentral:tRNA from 1 species
AAGGUUUUAAGUUAAACUAAACUAAUAAUCUUCAAAAUUAUCUAUAAAGAAAUUUCUUUAAGCCUUA